rnacentral:rRNA from 1 species
AGUCAAUAGAUACCCAGGUAGUCCACGCCGUAAACGAUGAAUACUAGGUGUAGGGGUUGUCAUGACCUCUGUGCCGCCGCAAACGCAUUAAGUAUUCCGCCUGGGGAGUACGGUCGCAAGAUUAAAACUCAAAGGAAUUGACGGGGGCCCGCACAAGCAGCGGAGCAUGUGGUUUAAUUCGAAGCAACGCGAAGAACCUUACCUAGACUUGACAUCUCCUGAAUUACUCUGUAAUGGAGGAAGCCCUUCGGGGCAGGAAGACAGGUGGUGCAUGGUUGUCGUCAGCUCGUGUCGUGAGAUGUUGGGUUAAGUCCCGCAACGAGCGCAACCCUUAUUGUUAGUUGCUACCAUUAAGUUGAGCACUCUAGCGAGACUGCCCGGGUUAACCGGGAGGAAGGUGGGGAUGACGUCAAAUCAUCAUGCCCCUUAUGUCUAGGGCUACACACGUGCUACAAUGGCUGGUACAGAGAGCUGCUAAACCGUGAGGUGGAGCCAAACUUUAAACCAGUCUCAGUUCGGAUUGUAGGCUGAAACUCGCC